rnacentral:tRNA from 1 species
GGGGCUAUAGCUCAGCUGGGAGAGCGCCUGCCUUGCACGCAGGAGGUCAGCGGUUCGAUCCCGCUUAGCUCC